UACAUUCUUUGUUUGUUUGGGGGA
rnacentral:piRNA from 1 species